AGCGGGCGGGACGGGUGAGUACGCGUGGGUAACCUGCCUCAUACAGGGGGAUAACAGUUAGAAAUGACUGCUAAUACCGCAUAAGACCACGGUACCGCAUGGUACAGUGGUAAAAACUCCGGUGGUAUGAGAUGGACCCGCGUCUGAUUAGGUAGUUGGUGGGGUAACGGCCUACCAAGCCGACGAUCAGUAGCCGACCUGAGAGGGUGACCGGCCACAUUGGGACUGAGACACGGCCCAG
rnacentral:rRNA from 1 species